AAGAGUAUAAUUUAAGUGGUAAAAUGUGAAGCUUCAAACUUCAUAUCCUCAGUUCAAAUCUGAGUGCUCUUG
rfam:Blastomyces gilchristii SLH14081 mitochondrial scaffold supercont1.101, whole genome shotgun sequence.